rnacentral:rRNA from 1 species
AGAGUGUGAUCCUGGCUCAGAACGAACGCUGGCGGCAGGCUUAACACAUUGCAAGUCGAGCGCUGUAGCAAUACAGAGCGGCGCACGGGUUGAGUAACACGUGGGAACGUGCCCUUUGGUUCGGAAUAACCCAGGGAAAACUUGGGCUAAUACCGGAUAAGCCCUAACGGGGAAAGAUUUAUCGCUGAAGGAUCGGCCCGCGUCUGAUAUAAGCUUGUUUGGUGAGGUAACGGCUCACCCAGGGCGCAACGCAAUCCGGUAACCUGGGUUCUGGAAGAAGGAUUGAUUCCAGGCCCUUCCACCUGGGGGAACCUGAAGAACACCGGGGCCCCAGAAACUCCCCUACCGGGGAAGGGCAGCCAGUUGGGGGGAAUAUUGGGGACAAUGGGGCGCAAGCCUGAUCCAGCCAUGCCGCGUGGGUGAUGAAGGCCCUAGGGGUU